rnacentral:rRNA from 1 species
UACGUAGGGUGCAAGCGUUAAUCGGAAUUACUGGGCGUAAAGCGUGCGCAGGCGGUUAUGUAAGACAGUUGUGAAAUCCCCGGGCUCAACCCUGGGAAUUGCAUCUGUGACUGCAUAGCUAGAGUACGGUAGAGGGGAUGGAAUCCGCGUGUAGGCAGUGAAAUGCGUAGAUAUGCGGAGGAACACCGAUGGCGAAGGGACAAUCCCCUGGACCUGUACUCGACGCUCCAUG